UACGUAAAAGACUAGUGUUAGUCAUCUUUAUUAGGUUUAAAGGGUACCUAGACAGUAAAUUAAACCCUAAUAGGUACUUUUUUACUUAGAGUUUUAUAAGAGAAGGGGAGAACUUUUAGAGUAGAGAAUAAAAUUUUAAUUGAUACUAAAAAGGAACUUAUAAAAGGCGAAAGGCAGCCCUUUCUAUGUAAAAACUGACGUUUGAGGGACGAAGGCUUGGGUAGCAAGAAGG
rnacentral:rRNA from 1 species